CCAGCCCAAUACACGAGAGGGGGACUAUAUAAGAAUCAAUGGAGUUGUCACUACCACGAACUACCCCGCGAUUUGGCAUAUAGGGUACAAUCGCAAGAUAAAUACGGUAUAGGCACCACGCCUACAGAAUACUUAUCAUUUACCCACUGUACACAUGGAUAAAUGCUACACGAUCCUAAACAUGUAUAUAAAUCCAAUCUAACUAAGCCAAGUAUAUAACUAUGAUAAACUAAGAACAAUAUAAUUCCAAAUAUAAACAAGUAGAGCAAAGUCAUAAUCAAUAUAUUGAAGUAGAACAAAGUCAUAUUCAUAAUAUUGAAGAACAAAGAUGAACAAUUGAAGAACAAUAGAGAAUUACCAAGAAUCCUCUUGACAGAUCCAGAAACCAAUCGAAGAUUGACUCCUUCUAGUUCUAAUCCUAUGUAGCUAUGCUAAUCUAGAGAUCUAAUUGAUGUGAUGGCUCUAGGGCUUGAUCAGAGGCUUCUUCUCCCAAGAUGAAUAAUGAAUUAGGGGUCUGAGCUCUCCUCCUCCAGGGGCCAGGGGGUCUGGUUAUAUAGUCCUUCCAAGUGAAUGUGGGCCGUCGGAUCAAACCGACAUUGAUUGAACGGUUAUCCUUGAUCCUUUAGGUCGGUGGAGCAUGAUCCGUGAAGUUGGAGCUGAUUGGUGGAUAGGCCAGGGUGGGCGCCCUAGGGGGGAGGGCGGGCGCCCUGCCCCCGAGCCCGUUCGGUCUCCCGUUCGUUCUCGUGGCUUAUGGACUCUUCUAGAUGUAGGAUUAUUGCAUGGCACGUUAAUAUCUCUAUGUAAACCCGACGUGUGGGCCUUUCUUCUGUAUUUCCUAAUAACCCUAUCCAGAAAUAGACAAACACCAAUACUCGUGGAAUUCUGUCAGAUAAAACUCUAAGUUUGGAUGUCGGUUGCAGGAUCCUUUUCUUUGUUUAUUUACUGAUUAUAUUUGAUACUUAACGACUGUCAACAAACUCCCCCAAGCUUACCUCUUGCUCGUCCCUGACCAAGGAUAAUCUCAGUGAUGGAUAAGAAGUUGUUGUAAUGCCUUUAAAAGUUGACGGUACACAUGUUUUUAAAUGAGAUCUUAACUCUGAGUUAGAGUAAACUGUCAAGACUUAAAACUUACUCAUUUUACCUUUCACCGUGGGACUCGUAAGCAUCACUUCUAUCUUGAGUAGUUAAAAGAUAGAAUGGUCUAAUCAAGUGCCAUGUCGAGUUUUUGCAUAUUUUCAAAUAAAACUCAUAGAUUCCUUGUAUGACUCUCUCAGAUCUCUCUUUUGUGGUAUUUUUGGAUCCUUACCAAGGCAGUGAUGGUAUAUGCCUUAUCUCAUAGUAUAUAGUAUUUGUGGUAUGAAGCAUAGUGACUUUGCCUUCUCUCUCAUCCUACUCUAAUAAGGCUUUAAUAUCUAGAGCUCAUAGGUGGGAGAUAAAGUAUACAUACUUACAAGACAUUUAUUGCAUAGUCAAACUAUGGAUCCAGAGUAACAAGUCAAUAAGUCAAAUCAAUAUGUGCAUGUGUGGCGAAAUGAAUGGUGUACGGUGAUGAUGGUGAUAACAAUGGUGAAAGUCUAAUUCUACUUUUGCUCUUUUGAGGGGAUACAUACCUUCCUUGCUCUUUUAAACUUUUUUGAGAAGAAUGAGAUGCUCUAUAUUUUCUUUUUCUUCCCUCUCAGGUGGGUAUCUUGUACCCCUAAUUCUACUGUCGGGCACUUGUCUAUUUUUACCUCUCGUCUCACUUUUUCUUUUCUUUCGAGGUUCCGGGCACUUGCCCCUUUUUAUUUCCUCGUCUCUUUUUCUUUUUCUUUUUUUAGAGCACUCAUCUCCUGAAAUAAUAUAGUAAGUGAUAGUAACCAAGAUAACUCGAGCAUUUAUUUCACAAGGGAGAAACAGAAAUGUUUUUGGCUAUUCUCUCUCGGAUUAGGAGUAGAAUAUUUUUAGAUGGUUCUAGAGAUGGAAAUGAGUGGAUAUAUGUGGAUGCAUACUCCCGGAGGAGAAGCAGCAUGUGUGAGUGAACGUGCAAGUGAAUCUUGAUUUAACCACAUGACAACCUCCUAAGGGUCUACACAGCUUGACCACACUCAAUGCUCAUAAGCAGUAAAAAGUAAUGUGUGGCUCAAAGUCUAGCAAGCGUGUAUAUAUGGCUGUGGUAGAAAUUUAAACUCUCAUCAUACAAGAACUCAUCAUGUGUUAUUUUAAAGAUUUUCAAAGAUAAAAUUCUCCAGAAUUCUAGCAUCUCUAGGAACAAAUAAACAGCAGCUCAACCUUCCCAUAUCAUAUCCGUUAACAACUUAGACUUUAGAUCAAGUUUUCUUCCCACAAGUCUAGGUUUAGAGCAAGCUUUAAAUUAUAACAGUUAUGUCUAAACUUGCGAGAGAACUUCAAAUUUUAAAAAUUAGGCAGAGCAACUAUUUAUCAUAUCCAUGCUAGAGUUUUAUUAUUAAGAUUCAGUUUAGCAUAGCCACUUUAUUUAUUUAUUAAACACACUAAGCAAAAGACAUAUAUUUAUAUAGGCAAAAAAUCUUUAUUUGGUUUUUUAUGGUUAUGUAUAUUUAUAUUUUAAUAUAGUAUAACAGUAUAAAUAGGUAGAUAGAAAUACUUAGCGGGAUAAAUGGGGGUGCUCUCCCCCAAGCUGAAUUUUGACGUAAUUUCUUCUAAUGUAGCUAGCAGGUGGCAGAGGUGUAUUUGAAAGUCGGCAGUACCCUGACAGCGAUCAGAAUGUCCUCCGUCUGCUAGUCUUCUUGAUUCUUGAAUUCUGUGGAGCUCAAAUAGACAACAAAGCUUUGUGGAACCGAUUAGGUGUUAGCAUAAAUAUCUAGCCUUUAUCAUGUUGAGCCUCCUCAAUAAGUGUUACUCUCUAUGGUAGGAUCACAAUUCUAUUUCUAUAUUUUCAUUUUUAUAAAGCAGAAAAAAUUAUUUAUUUUAUUUUUAUGCCACCACAGUGAAUGUACUUAUGGGUUUUAUACCACUCGUAUACUCACAUGGGGCUUACAGUUUUUUAACAUUUAUUUAUUUUCUUUUUAGGAUAGUACGUGUCGGUGUUUUCCCCCCGGGGGUCACACCAACGAGUAAAUUUGUAUGCGUGCUCCCUUUCCCAGAUGGUGAUGCAAGAAGACACAGAGAUUUAUCCUGGUUUGGGCAAGAGAAGGCCCUACGUCCAGCGGGGGGGGGAGAAGUUUGUAUUAUCUUGCACCUAAGUGCUUGUACAGGGGCGAAUACAAGCGUUGUAUGGAGUGUAUGUGUGCUACUGCGUAUGGGUGUAGUGGUAUCCCUUGUGUUCUAUUCCUGAGUCCCUCCUUUUAUAGUUCCAAGGAGAGACCCAGGGUACAUGUAUAGGUGUCAGAAUAGGAGUUGAUAGCAGUAUGGAGCGCUGACCUACUCGAGGCUCCUGUACCGACAUGGCCUCGAGCUGUCCCGUCUUACUAGCUUGGUGAUGAUUACGCGUGCCCCUGCAUUCGGCUCUGCGCGCCGUCUUGUGCUGGUUCAGCGGUCGCACGCUCGUGCGGUUCGGCGGCAAAUCCGGCGGAGUGGUUGCGGCGUGGCUAGUCGAUGUCUGUCCCGUCCUCAGGAAGGAAGCAUGUUUAGUCGAGGGUCAGACGCCGUACGACGUCCUGAUGUCAGAGCACUGACCCUGGAUACCUCGAGGGGGACUUGAUUAGACGUGCCAUCUCUGUUUGCCACGUCUUGACACGCCCUGGGCCGUUCGGUGGGGAAGGCUGCAAAA
rnacentral:lncRNA from 1 species